rnacentral:rRNA from 1 species
AUGCCGCGUGUAUGAAGAAGGCCUCGGGUUGUAAAGUACUUUCAGCAGUGAGGAAGGUGGGUAUGUUAAUAGCAUACUCAUUUGACGUUAGCUGCAGAAGAAGCACCGGCUAACUCCGUGCCAGCAGCCGCGGUAAUACGGAGGGUGCGAGCGUUAAUCGGAAUUACUGGGCGUAAAGCGCAUGCAGGUGGUUUGUUAAGUCAGAUGUGAAAGCCCGGGGCUCAACCUCGGAAUUGCAUUUGAAACUGGCAAACUAGAGUACUGUAGAGGGGGUAGAAUUUCAGGUGUAGCGGUGAAAAUGCGUAGAGAUCUGAAGGAAUACCGGUGGCGAAGGCCGGCCCCCUGGACAGAUACUGACACUCAGAUGACGAAAGCGGUGGGGAGACAAACAGGAUUAGACUACCCCGGUAG